AGGGAACAGACACAGUAAACCCACGGCAGCCAUGGAGCAGAGCUCCAGAUUCUGCAAAGCCACAGAGCCCGGGGGCCCAGCACCAGGGCAGAGGCAGAAACUCCAGCCAGGGACAGCCUCUGGGGACGUGAUGAGAGUUCAGUCCUCAGGCCCAAGCCAGGCUCUGGGGCUGGGAGAAAGGCAGGCUGCGGAGAACCAGACCAGGCACACAGAAGCCCGCUCAGCACCUGGGCCAGCGGCGAGGCUGGCCGGCUGUGUGGGGAGCUGCCCACUCCAGCUGCUUCCGUCUCUCUGCCCAGGCUGGAAGGAAAGGCAGAGGCCGGGAGGAAUUUGCCUGUGGAGCUAGCUCAGCUCCGCUGAAGAGAGCUGGAGACAAAGGCCGCCAGGAUGGUACAGAAGGGCUGGUCCUCAGCGCUCACAGCGUCUCGUGUACAGUAAGAGGGAAAGCAACUCCCUGCUUAAGGGAAAGUAGACUCUGCCCCACGUGCUGUCGGACUGUCCCGUCAUUAGAAGGAGCGUUCGGACACAGCCAUGCUGUAAUGGGAGUGGAGAAGGCAGCUGCUCACAGAGGCUGCACCUGGUUCUCAUCCCAUGUGGAGUACUGGAGGUGGCAAGUCAACACCCACCAUUUGAAGGGGCUGCUUUUGAGACUAAGGGGUCUCGUUGUCGCCCAGGCUGGAGCGCAGGGGCGUGAUAUAAGCUCACUACAGCUUCGACCUCUUGGGCUCCAGCGAUCCUCUCAAGCAGCUGGGAUUGCAGGCGUGUGCCACCAUGCCCCGUUCAUUUUCGUAUUUUUUGUAGAGAUGGGGUUUCUCCAUGUUAGUCAGGCUGGUCUUGUACUCCUGAGCUCAAGCUCCUGCCUGCCUCAGCCUCCCAAAAUGCUGGAAUUACAGGCAUGAGCCACCACGCCUGGCCAAUAUACUUUAUUUUAAAAUCCUCAAUAAAUUGAAAGAAUUAAAGAAUAAAAAAUUCCACUUCAAAGAAGCAGAAACUCCGUUCGUUAUGCUCUGUUUGCUACAAAUCUCUCUAAAAUGAUGC
rnacentral:lncRNA from 1 species